CUGCGGAAGGAUCAUUAUUGAAUUUU
rnacentral:rRNA from 1 species